CACCAGUGGCAAAGGAGCUUUCUGUUUGGAAACAAACUUUGAGGGGGGAAAGCUUGGGGAGGGAACAAGAUAGAUACCCUGGUAGUCCCCGCCGUAAACGAUGAGUGCUAAGUGUUAGGGGGUUUCCGCCCCUUAGUGCUGCAGCUAACGCAUUAAGCACUCCGCCUGGGGAGUACGGUCGCAAGACUGAAACUCAAAGGAAUUGACGGGGGCCCGCACAAGCGGUGGAGCAUGUGGUUUAAUUCGAAGCAACGCGAAGAACCUUACCAGGUCUUGACAUCCUCUGACAACCCUAGAGAUAGGG
rnacentral:rRNA from 1 species